AUGGCACUACCACUGCUACUGUACUGGCAGGCUCUAUAGCCAAGGAAGGCUUCCAGAAGAUUAGCAAAGGUGCUAAUCCAGUGGAAAUCAGGAGAGGUGUGAUGUUAGCUGUUGAUGCUGUAAUUGCUGAACUUAAAAAGCAGUCUAAACCUGUGACCACCCCUGAAGAAAUUGCACAGGUUGCUAUGAUUUCUGCAAAUGGAGACAAAGAAAUUGGCAAUAUCAUCUCUGAUGCAAUGAAAAAGGUUGGAAGAAAGGGUGUCAUCACAGUAAAGGAUGGAAAAACACUGAAUGAUGAAUUAGAAAUUAUUGAAGGCAUGAAGUUUGAUUGAGGGUAUAUUUCUCCAUACUUUAUUAAUACAUCAAAAGGUCAGAAAUGUGAAUUCCAGGAUGCCUAUGUUCUGUUGAGUGAAAAGAAAAUUUCUAGUGUCCAGUCCAUUGUACCUGCUCUUGAAAUUGCCAAUGCUCACCAUAAGCCUUUGGUGAUAAUCGCUGAAGAUGUUGAUGGAGAAGCUCUAAGUACACUCAUCUUGAAUAGGCUAAAGGUUGGUCUUCAGGUUGUGGCAGUCAAGGCUCCAGGGUUUGGUGACAAUAGAAAGAACCAACUUAAAGAUAUGGCUAUUGCUACUGGUGGUGCAGUGUUUGGAGAAGAGGGGUUGACCCUGAAUCUUGAAGAUGUUCAGCCUCAUGACUUAGGAAAAGUUGGAGAGGUCAUUGUGACCAAAGACGAUGCCAUGCUCUUAAAAGGAAAAGGUGACAAGGCUCAACUUGAAAAACGUAUUCAAGAAAUCAUUGGGCAGUUAGAUGUCACAACUAGUGAAUAUGAAAAGGAAAAACUGAAUGAAUGGCUGGCAAAACUUUCAGAUGGAGUAGUUGUGCUGAAGUUUGGUGGGACAAGUGAUGUUGAAGUGAAUGAAAAGAAAGACAGAGUUACAGAUGCCCUUAAUGCUACAAGAGCUGCUGUUGAAGGAGGCAUUGUUUUGGGAGGGGGUUUUGCCCUCCUUCGAUGCAUUCCAGCCUUGGACUCAUUGACUCCAGCUAAUGAAGAUCAAAAAAUUGGUAUGGAAAUUAUUAAAAGAACACUCAAAAUUCCAGCAAUGACCACUGC
rnacentral:lncRNA from 1 species